rnacentral:rRNA from 1 species
UACGAAGGGGGCGAGCGUUGUUCGGAUUUACUGGGCGUAAAGGGCGCGCAGGCGGCCGAUCAAGUCAGACGUGAAAGCCCCGGGCUUAACCUGGGAACUGCGUUUGGGACUGGUUUGCUAGAGAUCGGGAGAGGAGAGUGGAAUUCCCAGUGUAGAGGUGAAAUUCGUAGAUAUUGGGAAGAACACCGGUGGCGAAGGCGGCUCUCUGGACCGAUACUGACGCUGAGGCGCGAAAGCGUGGGGAGCAAACAGG